ensembl:snRNA U6 U6 spliceosomal RNA
GUGAAACGGCACAUAUACUAAAACUGGAACCAUACAGAGAAGAUUAUCAUGGCCCUGAGCAAGCAUGACAAGCAAAUUCGUGAAGUGUUCCAGCGAUUA